rnacentral:rRNA from 1 species
AUUGAACGCUGGCGGCAGGCCUAACACAUGCAAGUCGAGCGAGCGGCGGACGGGUGAGUAAUGUCUGGGGACCUGCCCGAUAGAGGGGGAUAACUACUGGAAACGGUGGCUAAUACCGCAUACCAUCGGAUGUACCCAGAUGGGAUUAGCUAGUAGGGGGGGUAAAGGCUCACCUAGGCGACGAUCUCUAGCUGGUCUGAGAGGAUGAUCAACCACCCUGGGACGGAGACACGGCCCAGACUCCUACGGGAGGCAGCAGUGGUGAAUAUUGCACAAUGGGCGCAAGCCUGAUGCAGCCAUGCCGCGUGUAUGAAGAAGGCCUUAGGGUUGUAAAGUACUUUCAGCGGGGAGGCGUUACCCGAAGAAGAAGCACCGGCUAACUCCGUGCCAGCAGCCGCGGUAAUAC